rnacentral:rRNA from 1 species
CUACGGGCCGCUCCAGUGGGGAAUAUUGGACAAUGGGGGAAACCCUGAUCCAGCAAUGCCGCGUGUGUGAAGAAGGCCUGCGGGUUGUAAAGCACUUUCGGUUGGGAGGACUGCUUCUAGCACUAAUAUUGUUGGAAGUUGACGUUACCUUCAGAAGAAGCACCGGCUAACUCCGUGCCAGCAGCCGCGGUAAUACGGAGGGUGCAAGCGUUAAUCGGAAUUACUGGGCGUAAAGCGCGCGUAGGCGGCUAGAUCAGUCGGGUGUGAAAGCCCCGGGCUUAACCUGGGAACUGCAUCCGAUACUGUCUAGCUUGAGUACAGGAGAUGAGAGUGGAAUUCCACAUGUAGCGGUGAAAUGCGUAGAUAUGUGGAGGAACACCAAUGGCGAAGGCAGCUCUCUGGCCUGAUACUGACGCUGAGGUGCGAAAGCGUGGGGAUCAAACAGGAUUAGAUACCCUCGUAGUC